rnacentral:rRNA from 1 species
GGGUGCGAUCAUACCAGCACUAAUGCACCGGAUCCCAUCAGAACUCCGCAGAUAAGCGUGCUUGGGUGAGAGUAGUACUAGGAUGGGUGACCUCCUGGGAAGUCCUCGUGUUGCAUCCCUC